rnacentral:lncRNA from 13 species
GAAAGAGCCAUUCAUCUGGCUCUAUGAUUUGCAAACUGCUACUACUGCUUGUUGAGCUCAGAACAACGUUUUUCUGUAGAUACAUUACAACAUCAUUAUCUAAAGGGGGUGAAUCCUCACUGCAGAAAUAAUAAAUAGUGGGGAGAGUGGGUCAAUCUGGUCCACGAGGAUUUAUUUCAUUGAACUUUAGGCCCAUACAAAGACAAAUCACACAACAUAGACUACCAAAUAACCUUAGGCAAAAAUACACGAAAUAAAAGUCAAGUGAAAAUAGUUAUAAAUGUCUUUAUCAAUUAUGAGUAGCUAAACAUUAUCGACUUUUGGACACUGAUGCGCAGGAGAACCCCUAGCUGUCAAUCAAGCAGGCGCGGUGAACGGAUUAUGACGCUCAAGCGUUCCAAAUGACGCAACAAUACAGCUCCAGACCAGAGAAAGUUAAUGCCGAAGUUAUUAUUCAGUUCAACACUAAAACUGAGGUUUGACACGUGUGAUUUGAGGCUAGAGCUUGAGGACUCAACUCUGAAGACUGUUUCUGAAUUCACUGACCUGAAAUAAAACUUGUAGACCUUUCCUGCAGUCUCUGAGGAGAUGGACACCUCU